rnacentral:rRNA from 1 species
CAGUCGCCACGGGAAUACAGAGGGUGCAAGCGUUAAUCGGAUUUACUGGGCGUAAAGCGUGCGCAGGCGGUUCGUUAAGACAGAUGUGAAAUCCCCGGGCUUAACCUGGGAACUGCAUUUGCGACUGGCGAGCUAGAGUAUGGCAGAGGGGGGUAGAAUUCCACGUGUAGCAGUGAAAUGCGUAGAGAUGUGGAGGAAUACCGAUGGCGAAGGCAGCCCCCUGGGCCAAUACUGACGCUCAUGCACGAAAGCGUGGGGAGCAAACAGGAUUAGAUACCCGCGUAGUCCCUGUCUCUUAUAC